GGGGAGAUAGCUCAGUGGUAAAGCACCUGCCUAGCAUGCAUGAGGCCCUGAGUUCAAUCCCCAUCACCACA
rnacentral:tRNA from 1 species